UCAGGAAAAGGGAGCGGGUCAGAAGGCAGCGCGGCGGCAAGCAGCGACUCUCCUUCGAGAAUUUCUUUAAUUGGGGAGCCGAGGCGGCUUUUGGUCUCCAGCUUUUCCCCCUGCAUUUUCACCGGGGCAGGAUUCUUAGGUCGUCAAAGUCCUACAUUUUAGCUUUCAGUGCUGAACUUCCUUCUCCCUUAAAUUAUUAUAAACUUUUGCUGCUGUUUAAUAAACGUGAAGAUGUCUCGCAGUCCUGAUGCGAAGGAAGACCCUGUGGAGUGCCCUCUUUGCAUGGAGCCCUUGGAGAUAGAUGAUAUCAACUUUUUCCCUUGCACCUGUGGCUACCAGAUUUGCCGAUUUUGUUGGCAUCGAAUUCGCACUGAUGAAAAUGGGCUUUGUCCUGCAUGUAGAAAGCCAUAUCCAGAAGACCCAGCAGUUUAUAAACCACUCUCCCAGGAAGAGCUGCAAAGGAUAAAGAAUGAGAAAAAACAGAAACAAAAUGAGAGAAAACAGAAAAUAUCAGAAAAUCGCAAACAUUUGGCUAGUG
rnacentral:sRNA from 1 species